GCCGUGGUGGCGGAAUUGGCAGACGCGCUAGGUUCAGGUCCUAGUCCACUUAUAGUGGGUGGAGGUUCAAGUCCUCUCCACGGCACCA
rnacentral:tRNA from 1 species